UGGGGGAUAUUGCACAAUGGGCGAAAGCCUGAUGCAGCGACGCCGCGUGGGGGAUGAAGGCCUUCGGGUUGUAAACUUCUUUUGCUCUGAACAAGGCGCACCCUGGGGUGUGUUGAGUGUAGGGGUUGAUUAGCGCCGGCUAACUACGUGCCAGCAGCCGCGGUAAUACGUAGGGCGCGAGCGUUGUCCGGAAUUAUUGGGCGUAAAGGGCUUGUAGGUGGCUGGUUGCGUCUGUCGUGAAAGCUCAUGGCUUAACUGUGGGUUUGCGGUGGGUACGGGCUGGCUUGAGUGCAGUAGGGGAGGGUGGAAGUACUGGUGUAGCGGAGGGAUGCGCAGAUAUCAGGAGGAAUACCGGUGGCGAAGGCGGGUCUCUGGGCGGUUACUGACACUGAGGAGCGAAAGCAUGGGGAGCGAACAGG
rnacentral:rRNA from 1 species